AAUUCAGGUUGCAAAUGCAACCUAGUUCAGUCUUAAAAAUUUAGAUUUUUUUGAGGUCUACUUCAUUCUUUCUAAAAUACUAACCAAAGGAGGCCUGCUGACAUCUGUUAUCCAUAGUUUCAUGCCAAGAAAGCUCAAGGAUGAGAUGUCCCACCUGGAUAUUUUUUAUGCUGAUUGGAGAAAGGCACAGUGUUGGAGGAUGGAAGAAAUAAAAAGUGCCACCAAGAUAUAUGAUAUUUUAUUAAGUAAGGAUGGGCUCCCUAAGUGAACCUGGGGCCAUUUUUCUCCCCUGACCUUGCACAAACCCUCAAAAAAUGUGAAUUCUGCAGCACCACCCCCAAAGCGAUAACUUCUGAUGGGGAUGGGAAUGAAUUCUGUAGCACAAGACUCAUGUUUUGCUAAGGCAGGUAGGAAUGACCUUUCCUACAGGCUUGCAGGAUUUGUUGUUAUGUGCUUUCAAGUCAUUUCCAACUUACAGGGUCUCUAUGGUGAGCCUAUUAUGAAGCUUUCUUUCCAAGACUGUUCCAGAGAGAUUUUGCCCUUGUCUUCCUCUGAGAAUAAGGAAAUAUAACUUGUUCAAUGUCACCCAGUGGGUUUUUGAGAUGACCAAUUCAAACACUGGUUUCUAGAGUCCUAGUCCAAUGCUCAAACCACUAGACCAGUGGUUCUCAACCUGGGGUCCCCAGAUGUUUUUGGUCUACAGCUUCUAGAAAUCCUAACAGCUGGUAAACUGGCUGGGAUUCCUGGGAGUUGAAGGACAAAAACAUCUGGGGACUCUAGACCAAACUGACUCUUUCAGAAUUAGCAGCUCUCACUUUUGAUUGGGAGGGUGAAACAAUUAGAAUGGGCUUUGGGGUUUAAAAAUGGCCUUGAACAUUCCAUUUGGUCCUCGGCCUGCAUGAGUCCCAUCCCUGCUUAAAGUGAAUACAAUUUUGAUUCUGCCAGCAACCCAAGGAAUUGACUGGGACAACUGAAGAAAGUGUAAAUGUGUACCAUAUGUGACACUGAACAUAACCCCCCUCUGCUUUAUAUCUGUUCAGGAAAUUAAAUAAAAAAGUUAUACUGACUAGAAUGUAGAUUUACUUUUGUGGUUUCAGUGGGUUUUGUUUUAUGGUGAUUUAAUGGCUUUUAAACUUUUGUAUACUGUGAAUUUUUAACUCCGUUUAACUGUUGUAAGCUGCCUUGAGUCACAAAUUGAGGGAAAACAAAGAUAUAAAUCAAUAUAAAUAAUAAGGCUCUUGCCUACAUUGUGCCUCAUGCUAAAAAGUAAUUCAUUUCAUGUUUUUCAGUUUACAUAAGAAGAUAUCCUCUAAAGCAGUGGUUCUCAAUCUGUGGGUCCCCAGAUGUUUUGGCCUUCAACUCAUAGAAAUCCUAACAGCUGAUAAACUGGCUGGGAUUUCUGGGAGCUGUAGGCCAAAACACCAGGGGACCCACAGGGUGAGAACCACUGCUCUAAAGGGCUACACCAACAUUUCCCUGAAGACAGCCAGGACAUAUGUGGUCAAAUAAUAUCAGAGUGUGGUCAAGAUGGCAAGAAGAAGAAUACACAAGUUGGAAGACACUGUGCCAUUUUGCUUUUGCUUGCAUCUACCGAAGAGAGUGAGAUUAACUUACUCCUCUUUCCCUGCUGAGUUGAAUUUAGAGCUCUUUUGUACUUUUCCAGCAGUUGAUAUAAACUGAGGAGAAAGGGGGAGAGUGGGGGAGAACAAAUUGGAACAUUUUGAAAACAAUUUUAAAAUUGGGAUGGCAGAGAUUGGUCACUGCCAAAUUAGAGUAAUGGAAUGAGUAUGGGAAUGCUAUGCCUGUCACCAUCAACACAGGCCAUGCUGGCUAAUGCUGUGAUAGGAAUUGGAUUUCAACACUUUCUGGAAGAACAUACAGUUGUUCAUCCCUGUCUUGUUGAGGGAGAGACAAGAGGAGAUAAGGACUAUAAAGCUGCAUGAUGGUAAAUCUCUUUUUGAAAGAAAUAGAAGAGUGAGCGCAGUUUCACCUUUCUUCCCUUUAAAAGGGGCAGAGUCAAGAUUCCUGGUUGAUCCAGACAUUGGCUCCAUUCACAAUGCUAUACUUCCAUUCUAACUGCCAUGGCUCCAUCCUGUGGAAUCCUGGGUAUUGUCAUUUGUUGAGCAAUAAGUGAGCUCUCUGGUUAAGAAUACUAAGUGCCCCAUCUCACCUGAAAUGACACCCCCAGGAUACCAAAAAAUGUUGAUGUGGUAUUUGAAAUGAAAUAUAGUGUUGUGGUUUGUAAAGACACCAUUAUGGAUGGGUUAACUGGAAAGCCAAAAGGUGGAUGCAGAGCACAGUGGAAGGUGAGCCCUGAUACUACAGUGCCAAGAAGAGAAGGAGCUAAGCUGCAGAAUUGCACACAUCCCUUUCUUUUGGCGGUAGCUGAGUCCCCCAACACAUGAGAAUCUGAACCCCCAUCAGCAGCCUGGAGAUGAUUCAUGAUUACCAGGGAUGCAGGGCCAAGCUCUGAGAUUUGAUAAUGGACGGCUAAAAGAGUAACUUUUCUUCCAGUGAUGAAUGACAUUAAAGGUUACCAAAAGACAACUGAGCUGGCCUGGUUUCAUCUGGCAGCUCAAAUAUUCUGAACCUUUUGAAGUGAGAUCCUUCCUUUCUUUCCCUCUUCCCCUCCCUCUUCUCCUUCCUAUCCUGCUUUUCUUGUACCCAGUGGCUGAAAAUCAUUCUCUCGCAAUCAUAUGUCUGUGGUGUGGCUGAUGCAUCCAAUUUAAUUAAAAAGACCAGAAAGCUC